UACGGGGGGGGCGAGCGUUGUUCGGAAUCACUGGGCGUAAAGGGCGCGUAGGCGGCCCGCACAAGUCUGCGGUGAAAACCCCCGGCUUAACCGGGGGCCGGCCGUGGAAACUGUCGGGCUGGAGGCCGGGAGAGGGCAGCGGAAUUCCCGGUGUAGCGGUGAAAUGCGUAGAGAUCGGGAGGAACACCGGCGGCGAAGGCGGCUGCCUGGACCGGCCCUGACGCUGAGGUGCGAAAGCUAGGGGAGCAAACAGG
rnacentral:rRNA from 1 species